rnacentral:rRNA from 1 species
AGCAGCCGCGGUAAUUCCAGCUCCAAUAGCGUAUAUUAAAGUUGUUGCAGUUAAAAAGCUCGUAGUUGAAUUUCGGGGUUAGUAGGUUGGUCAUGCCUCUGGUAUGUACUGGUCUCACUGAUUCCUCCUUCCUGAUGAACCUUAAUGCCAUUUAUUUGGUGUUUUGGGGAAUUUGGACUGUUACUUUGAAAAAAUUAGAGUGUUUAAAGCAAGCUAACGCUUGAAUACAUUAGCAUGGAAUAAUGAAAUAGGACGUUCGAUCCUAUUUUGUUGGUUUCUAGGAUUGACGUAAUGAUUAAUAGGGAUAGUUGGGGGCAUUAGUACUCAAUUGUCAGAGGUGAAAUUCUUGGAUUUAUUGAAGACUAACUACUGCGAAAGCAUUUGCCAAGGAUGUUUUCAUUAAUCAAGAACGAAAGUUAGGGGAUCGAAGACGAUCAGAUACCGUCGUAGUCUUAACCAUAAACUAUGCCGACUAGGGAUCGGAUGAUGUUAAUUUUUAAUGACUCAUUCGGCGCCUUAC